GGUGAGGUAACGGCUCACCUAGGCGACGAUACAUAGCCGACCUGAGAGGGUGAUCGGCCACACUGGGACUGAGACACGGCCCAGACUCCUACGGGAGGCAGCAGUAGGGAAUCUUCGGCAAUGGGGGGAACCCUGACCGAGCAACGCCGCGUGAGUGAAGAAGGUUUUCGGAUCGUAAAGCUCUGUUGUUAAGGAAGAACGAGUGUGAGAAUGGAAAGUUCAUACUGUGACGGUACUUAACCAGAAAGGGACGGCUAACUACGUGCCAGCAGCCGCGGUAAUACGUAGGUCCCGAGCGUUGUCCGGAUUUAUUGGGCGUAAAGCGAGCGCAGGCGGUUAGAUAAGUCUGAAGUUAAAGGCAGUGGCUCAACCAUUGUAGGCUUUGGAAACUGUUUAACUUGAGUGCAGAAGGGGAGAGUGGAAUUCCAUGUGUAGCGGUGAAAUGCGUAGAUAUAUGGAGGAACACCGGUGGCGAAAGCGGCUCUCUGGUCUGUAACUGACGCUGAGGCUCGAAAGCGUGGGGAGCGAACAGGAUUAGAUACCCUGGUAGUCCACGCCGUAAACGAUGAGUGCUAGGUGUUAGGUCCUUUCCGGGACUUAGUGCCGCAGCUAACGCAUUAAGCACUCCGCCUGGGGAGUACGACCGCAAGGUGAAACUCAAAGGAAUUGACGGU
rnacentral:rRNA from 1 species